UACGUAGGGGGCAAGCGUUGUUCGGAAUUACUGGGCGUAAAGGGCGCGUAGGCGGCCUGUUAAGUCGAACGUGAAAUCCCCGGGCUCAACCCGGGAACUGCGUCCGAUACUGGCAGGCUUGAAUCCGGGAGAGGGAUGCGGAAUUCCAGGUGUAGCGGUGAAAUGCGUAGAUAUCUGGAGGAACACCGGUGGCGAAGGCGGCAUCCUGGACCGGCAUUGACGCUGAGGCGCGAAAGCCAGGGGAGCAAACGGG
rnacentral:rRNA from 1 species